CCCUUAGAUGUUCUGGGCUGCACGCGUGCUACACUGGUGCAUUCAACGAGUUCAGAACCUUCUGUGAUAACAGUGGGAAAUCUUAUAAAAUGCACCGUGUUUGGGACAGAUGAUUGUAAUUAUUCAUCUCCAACGAGGAAUCCCUAGUAAGCGUGUCUCAUCACGACGCGCUGAUUACGUCCCUGCCCUUUGUACACACCGCCCGUCGCUCCAACCGAUUGAGUGAUCCGGUGAGUUGUCCGGACCGCUACUUGUUCCUUUGCUGGUCUAGUAGUGGGAAGUUCUGCAAACCUUNUNACUUAUNGGAUGGAGAANUCGUANCA
rnacentral:rRNA from 1 species